rnacentral:rRNA from 1 species
UACGUAGGGAGCGAGCGUUGUCCGGAAUCAUUGGGCGUAAAGAGCGCGUAGGCGGUCCGGUAAGUCCGCUCUGAAAGCCCGGGGCUCAACCCCGGGAGGCGGGCGGAUACUGUCGGGCUAGAGUCCGGAAGAGGCGAGUGGAAUUCCUGGCGUAGCGGUGAAAUGCGCAGAUAUCAGGAGGAACACCGAUGGCGAAGGCAGCUCGCUGGGACGGUACUGACGCUGAGGCGCGAAAGCGUGGGGAGCAAACAGG